rnacentral:lncRNA from 1 species
UGUAUUGUGUUAUGUAAAGAUAUUGAAUUCUAUGUGAUGAAUUGAGAAAAUGGAUAGAAUAAAUAAGCUGAAGAUCAGUAAUUGAAUAUAUAUAAAUGACAAAGAGAGUAAGUGGGAGAUGAACUGAUAAGAAUAUGGAAAUAUUGUUGAAUUGAUAGUCAUAGAAUGGAUUAUGUGUUGAAUUAAGAUGGAAGUAGUAAGCCUUGGUGUUUUGUAGUUUGAUAAUUGAUUUUAGAUAGCCCGAGUAUAAUUAAUUGUGACACUAACAGACCCAAUUCAUAUAACCAG